rnacentral:siRNA from 1 species
CUACUCGACCACCACCUCGAC